CCCUUAGAUGUUCUGGGCUGCACGCGCGCUACACUGAUGCAUCCAGCGAGUUGUAACCUUGCUUGGUAAAGUUUGGUAAUCUGAGCCUAAUGUGCAUCGUGAUGGGAAUAGAGUUUUGCAAUUAUUAAUCUUCAACGAGGAAUGCCUAGUAAGCGCAAGUCAUCAGCUUGCGUUGAUUACGUCCCUGCCCUUUGUACACACCGCCCGUCGCUCCUACCGAUUGAAUGGUCCGGUGAAGCGUUCGGACCGUGGCCUUUGGACGGUUCGCCGUCUGUUGGCUGCGGGAAGUUCGUUAAACCUUAUCAUUUAGAGGAAGGAGAAGUCGUAACA
rnacentral:rRNA from 1 species